rnacentral:rRNA from 1 species
CUACGGGCUGCACCAGUGGGGAAUAUUGCACAAUGGGCGAAAGCCUGAUGCAGCGAUGCCGCGUGAGGGAAGAAGGUCUUCGGAUUGUAAACCUCUGUCAUAAGGGACGAUAAUGACGGUACCUUAGAAGGAAGCUCCGGCUAACUACGUGCCAGCAGCCGCGGUAAUACGUAGGGAGCAAGCGUUGUCCGGAAUUACUGGGUGUAAAGGGAGUGUAGGCGGGAUUGCAAGUCAGAUGUGAAAACUAUCGGCUCAACUGAUAGAUUGCAUUUGAAACUGCAGUUCUUGAGUGAAGUAGAGGUAAGCGGAAUUCCUAGUGUAGCGGUGAAAUGCGUAGAUAUUAGGAGGAACAUCAGUGGCGAAGGCGGCUUACUGGGCUUUAACUGACGCUGAGGCUCGAAAGCGUGGGGAGCAAACAGGAUUAGAUACCCGAGUAGUC